rnacentral:lncRNA from 1 species
AAACAUCUCCUUCAAACCUCAAAUUGCAGAUCCAUAGAUAUUUUUACCAGGAGCAAGGACAACAGCAAGCAGGGUAUUAGGAACUUCCCUAACAGCUGUGACAUCAUAGUGAGGAAAGUGCCCAGGGGUAACUGAGUCCAAGGCUGAACUCUCCUGGGAGUUAAGAGAUGCAGCCUGUGACCCUCAGGGCUACAUUCAAGUUUAAGAAGGCAGCCACAGGAGAGCAACAAGAAUUAGAGAUUUUAUGACCACAAGUUCAUAUUGCAUGGUGUCAUGCUACAGAACACAGCACAAGAGAGGAUUAAUAAUUCUCCUUUUUGGAUCACCUUUGCGGUGCAGAGGCCUGAGGAAUGAGGUCGAAGAGGCUACCUCUGCAGAAGGCACUGGGGAGGAACCAGACUGAUGGGCAGCCCUGGUGGUGGUGACAGCACUGGCAGGAGCCAGCUGUCCAGCAGGAGCCCUGCCUGCCUCACUGCUGGGGCAAAGGGAAGCACUGACCCAUCCUGACAGCCACGCAGACUGACGGACCUACUGGAGGCUGCUACAAUAACAGAUGCUAGCAGAGA